AAAUUAAUAAAAGAUUUUGAUUGGAAUGUAUUUCCCAUGUGCUCGUUGAUCAGUGAAGAUUGUCUGCAAGCCAACAAUGGCAUCACUGACCCAGGGAUUUGGAUUUCACACCAAACACAAGGAGAAUGUGGCCACAGAGUGAAGGAGGGAGAAACCAUCAUCCAGUUGAGAAAUGGUUGUAGCCUAACUCUAGGAAGCUGUAGGAGAGACCAAGAAAGGGGAUAGGCCAUACAAUAUUAAAUUUAACCAUCUUCCACUUCUAGUACUGCGGCAUAUUGGAUACCCUAAACAGCUGGAGGAAAUGACUAAUAAUCUGGAAAAAUUUUUAAACUAAAAUUUUAAUUUUAAUAAGAAACAUUGGUGGCAAAAAAGAAAAAGAAACCAAGGAACAAAAACUGAAGUGAAAGCAAAAACUCUGGUAUACAAACCAGUGCUUAAGCCACUCUGAUUAUGUCUGCCAAACCAUAGUGACCUUGAGUUUCUGUGUCUACAGCAUGUGUGAACAUACAACCUAGAGGCAGACACAAAAAUGAAGUCUGAUGGAACUCAGCUACAAAAAGCUGGCGACCCAAUGGGGUAAAAUUCUCAGAGACAGGGUCCCCCACAGAAGGGCCAGCAAGGAAUCUUGCCUCUCUCAAUCUUGUUGCUGGAAGCAUGAAAAAUUUCCUCGGAGACAUCACAAUAAAACUUUCUUCAUGUAAAACAGUAGCACAGAUUCAAGUUAACUCAAAUACAGUGACCCCAGACUGGUGGUGCUUCCUGGAAUAAGGAGAAAACAACUCAGUUCCUCUGUAGAAGACAUAGAAGGAGACCAGGCAUCAAAGAGCUUACCGAAUAAGUUCCAAGGGAUAGAAGUUCAUAUUUAAGAGUUAUAAAGCAAAGAAGUAAUCUACAUGUGCAUGGGCCAGCAAAAC
rnacentral:lncRNA from 1 species